rnacentral:siRNA from 1 species
UUGCGGUGCGGUUUUGGAUGC